rnacentral:lncRNA from 1 species
GUAUAUGAACGGUCAAGUUGUUUCAACUGAACACAUCCUACUUGGCUGUUCAAAAUCCCUUACCCCAAAUUUUUUAAAGCCUUUAAGAACACUUUCGUCAAGGUGAUGCAACCAGCAAUAUCUGCUUCCCUUUUUUAUAUUGUUUUUCUUUGCUCAUUAGCUUUGCAUGUGGAGGUUUUCCCUGACAGUUUGAGCACUUGUAUAUUAUUAAAUUCUACUGUUUUCUUUUCAUCAUCGACGAGACAAAGCCAAUAUUAAUAAAAUUAUUUAAACCCAAGUUUUGUUUUUAUGAAUAUACCUUGGUUUUAUUAAUAUUUUGGCUGUUCUAACAAACCAUGGCAUUGUGGGCUUUGAACCCUGUAAGUGUUAAAAAGCUUGGGUUUUUUUUGGUUAGUCAUUGGAGUCUGGGAAAAAAGCAUACUGCCGUUCUUUCACCCUUGUUUUUAUGACAAUUUUAGUAAAACCCUAUGUUGGUUUCAUCCUCAGAAUUGCAUGAAUUUCUUCUUGAUUCCUACUGUUCAUGUUUUUGCUUACGUUUGUUGGCAGCUGGUGCUUGUAUCUUGAGUUCAUGAUAAUUUGAGGCAGAAAAUAGUUGGCCUGGUUUCAACUACAAGUAUUUGUUUUGGAAGCCAUGGAAGAGGGCUUGUUGAUUUCAAGAUUCAUGACAAGAACUUUGAUUUUGUUGAGUCUUUGGUUCUUGUGGGUCCCUUUAGGAGUUGUCUGCAGUACUGGAAAUGCAUCAGUUUCCUCAGGGUCUUCUUCUUCGUCCAUCUUCUUGAAGCCAAACGUUAUAAAAUUGGAUCUCUGUUCACGUUGAAUUCAGUUAUUGGUGGAGCAGCAAAGCCAGCACUUCAAGCUGCUAUUGAUGAUGUCAACUCUGAUCCAAGCAUUCUCAUGGGAUAGAAUUGAACUUCUUUUGUUUGAUACAAAUUGCAGUGAAUUUAUUGGAACCAUGGCAGGUAUUUUCUUGUACCCUGCAAUUUGAAUCGAUCUUCAACAACUUUUUGUCUGUUGACAUUCCUGAAUAGAAUGCAUCUUUUAAGAAAUUAAACCGAACUGUUUUUAGACAGAAAAUCAGUAUCUUCUAACGGGUGAAGUUGUGAUAAUGAAACCAAUGGCUCUUUUCUUUGUGUUGGGUAUCUUUCUGCUUUCCUUUUCCAUUUGAUGGUAUAUUCAGAAUCAAUGUCAAGCAAUGCUACGAUUAGAAGGGCAGGCUUUAGGUUGUAUGGCCUUAUCUGAUGCCAUUUUUACAGUAUUUAACUUCAAUAUAAUCGCUAAUGUUUCUUAAGGAUUGUAGUUGUUAUGACAUAUAGCGGACUUUGCUUUGUCCUCGAACUCCAUUAAUUUGCAUUAAUAGCUUAAAUUACAAAUUAGGCUGUGUGCUGUGGUCUUGAUCUCAAGAGAGAUGUAUAUAGUAAUUUCUUGAGAGUAUGAGCAUUGGGUAAGAGUACCUUUUUGUCUGUUACAUUUGGUUCAGUUGAUCUCCUGCUCCAAGUGCUCUAAUCUAUAUGCUUAUGUUUAUUCAACAAUGUUAAUUUUUGUAUGUUGCAAAUCUGCAGUUACAUUUUGUGCCUCCAAAAAGUCUGUAAGUUGUGGCUAUUGUAAUUGAGAAAUCUAUUAGGUCACUGCUAAUUUUUUAAUAACUUCUUUUGAUAGUGAUUACAUCCAGAAACUACUUCCCCUGGCAUAGUGCCACGCCAGGAACAACAUUAUUUAACUCACAAUCUAGAUGAAUCGGAGAUCUUGCAAACCUAUUUGCUUUCCUUUUUACUAGGGAACAACACAAUGCACUGGUAUCUAAUACCUAGUACAAUUUGCAUUGUUGCAUAUGUAAGUGUCCUGCAAAAUAGAAUGGCUGAAAAAUACUAAAAUCAGCUAGAAACAUAAACAAUUUAAUCUGUUGUCCUUGUUUGUGUAGCUUUGCAGCUGAUGGAAAGUGAUAUUUGUUGUUGCAAUUGGUCACAAUCUUCUGGAAUAGCUCAUGUCAUCUCCCAUGUUGUUAAUGAGCUUCAUGUCCUCUUCUCUCAUUUGGAGCUACAGAUCCCACUCUUUCUUCCCUGCAGUACCCAUAUUUCCUCCGUACUACACACAGCGACUACUCCAGAUGCAUGCAAUUGCUGAUGUAGUUGACUAUUAUACCUGGAGAGAGGUAAUAGCAAUAUUUGUUGAUGAUGAUUAUGGAAGAAGUGGGAUUUCUGUUUUGGGUGAUGCCCUUGCGAAGAAACGUGCCAAGAUUUCUUAUAAGGCCGCCUUCAGCCCUGGAGACCCCAAAAUAAGAUCAAGGACUUACUAGUUGAGGUCAACCUGAUGGAGUCACGAGUUUUUGUAGUUCAUGUUACUCCUGACACUGGUUUGAGUAUCUUUUCUGCUGCCAAGGCUCUUAAUAUGAUGGGUGGUGGCUAUGUUUGGAUUGCUACAGAUUGGCUUCCUUCAUACUUAGAUUCAAUGGAAGCAGUUGAUCCUGACACAAUGAAUAUCUUGCAAGGGUUAUUGCUCUCCGCCAUUACACCCCGGAUACUUAUCUCAAAAAGAGAUUUAGGUCUAGGUGGAACAACCUAAAAUAUAAGAGAAGUGCAGGUCCUGCAGGUUUCAAUUCUUAUGCACUUUAUGCUUAUGAUUCUGUUUGGUUGGCUGCACAUGCCCUUGACUUUUUUCUCAAAGAAGGUGGAAAUUUAUCUUUCUCUUAUGACCCAAAUUUGCAUGAUACAAAUGGCAGCAUGCUGCACCUAGAAUCACUUCAUGUGUUUAAUGGAGGUGAGCAACUUCUGCAGACACUUCUUAGGAUGAACUUCACUGGUCUGAGCGGUCAGAUUCAAUAUACUCCGGACAAACAUUUAGUUCAUCCAGCAUAUGAUGUUCUUAAUGUUGUUGGAACCGGAACCCGAAGAAUUGGUUAUUGGUCAAAUUAUUCUCAUCUCUCAAUUGUUCCCCCGGAGAGCAUGUAUACAAAGCCUCCCAAUAUCUCUACUGGCAGCCAACAUCUUUACAGUGUAAUAUGGCCUGGUGAAAAUACUGUAAUACCAAGGGGAUGGGUAUUCCCUAACAACGGGCAGCCACUGCAAAUUGCUGUACCCAACCGAGUAGGCUAUAAAGUGUUUGUGUCGAAAGACAACAGUCCUCAGGGUGUAAAAGGAUACUGCAUUGAUGUCUUUGAAGCUGCAAUAAGCUUGCUUCCAUAUGCUGUUCCUCACAGAUAUAUGUUAGUUGGAGAUGGUAAAAGAAAUCCCAUCUAUAAUGACCUCAUUAACCAGGUUGCCCAAAAUGUGAGUAUCAGCUUUAAUUUUGUUUUAUUGUUAACUGGUGUAGCUUAGCUGGUAGUCCUUUGGAUUAUGUUAUCUGAUUUUGUGGGAUGGUUUGGGGCUUUCAUUUCCCUGCUCAAUAUUGAGGUGCUAGUAACUAUUUUGACUUGCUCCUUUCCUAUUUAGAAAUAUGAUGCAGCUGUUGGAGAUAUUACCAUUGUUACGAACAGGACAAAAAUUGUAGAUUUUACACAGCCUUUUAUGGAAUCUGGACUUGUUGUUGUUGCACCAGUCAAAGAGGAAAAGUCAAAUCCUUGGGCAUUCCUCAAGCCAUUUACUAAAGAAAUGUGGUUUGUUACUGCUGCAUUCUUUCUUCUUGUGGGAUUUGUAGUGUGGAUUCUUGAGCACCGGUUAAAUCAUGAAUUUCGUGGUCCUCCCAGCCAACAACUUAUGACAAUUUUUUGGUUAGUCCAUUUAAUAUAUGGCUGCUAUAUAUUUAAUUGGAAGAUAAUGGGUGCAUUUGUCAUCCCUUGACACGUUAGAUCUAACCUAUAAGGUACAAUGUCAUGUUGCAAAAACCAUUGUGCUAUAGAGCAUAAUCAAGCUGAAAUCUUUAUGAGAGUAAGCUUUUUAACUCUGCAUUGUGUGUCAUGGUUCCAUACAUGUUAGCUGGGGCUGGAACCCGAGGCUCUGGUUCAUAAUGAAAUUUGCAUGGUCAGUGCCAAUUAGAGAUCUUUCUUAUUAACUCACUAGAAGAAUAUAGUAGUAAUUAUAUUGAUUUUUUUUUCCUAAUUUCAGGUUUAGCUUCUCGACAAUGUUUUUCUCGCACAGUAAGUAAAUCAUUGUAGUCCCUUAUGGCUUCUGUUUAUGUUAUUAUAUGUAAUGCUUCAGGAAAUCCAGGCUAGAAACUCAUAAAAUCUUUCAUGCUUUGACUUGGUACAGGGGAAAACACCGUGAGCACUUUGGGACGUUUGGUGCUGAUCAUAUGGCUAUUUGUAGUUCUGAUUAUCAAUUCAAGCUAUACUGCUAGUUUGACAUCGAUACUUACUGUGCAACAGCUGACAUCUGGGAUUCAUGGGAUUGAUAGCUUGAUCUCAAGUACUGAGCCUAUUGGAAUCCAAGAUGGUUCGUUUUCAUUUAACUAUUUGAUCGACGAGCUCAAUAUAGCAGAAUCUAGGUUAGUUAAGUUAAAAAAUCCUGAAGAUUAUCUCAGAGCCCUUACUCUUGGACCGAAUAAGGGUGGUGUAGCUGCUAUUGUUGAUGAGCUUCCUUAUGUUGAGCUCUUCUUAUCCAACACCAAUUGUUUAUACAGGACAGUGGGGCAAGAAUUUACAAAGAGCGGAUGGGGCUUUGUAAGUAUCAACAUUGAACCUUCUAGGCUGAUGUAUGGCAUUGCAACUCUAAUUUUCUUUUCCUACAUAUGAUCAUGGUGGUGAUUUUUUUUCCUGGUUUCAGGCUUUCCAAAGGGACUCCCCACUCGCAGCUGAUCUGUCAACUGCUAUCCUUCAACUCUCCGAAAAUGGUGAUCUCCAAAAGAUCCAUGAUAAGUGGCUGACACACAGCGAUUGCUCAAUGCAAAUCAAUCAAAUCGAUGAAAACCAACUCUCCCUAAGCAGCUUUUGGGGCCUAUUCCUCAUUUGUGGCACUGCAUGCGUCUUGGCUCUCAUUGUGUUCUGCUAUAGAGUCUGUACUCAGUACCGCAGAUAUAGCCCCGAAGACGUAGAAGGGGAGGUCGAGCAGAUCGAACCAUCUACGUCAUCAAGGCGCUCCUCCAUCAGCUCAACAAGUAAGAAAAUAAUGGACUUUAUAGAUAGGAAAGAAGCAGAGAUCAAGGAGAAACUGAAGAGAAAGAACAGUAAUGAUAACAAACAACAGACCAAGCACAGCUCAGAUGGACAAGCAAGUUCACCUGCAUAAACAGAAACAUUUUGUUUUGGUCUCCAUUGGAUCUUCCUUUCUCUGAUCUGUUGCAUAUAGAAUCUAUACAAAUACAAAUUCAUGUAUCCAAUGUAUUUGCUCCACUGCUUUCAAGUGGAGACAUAGGUCCUAGGUUUGUAUUGUUCUCAAUUUUCGUACCCUUUUUUUGUAGGAUUAAAAGAACAAAAAUGAGAAAUUGUUAGCUUGUCCUAAGCCAAUCUGUAUCAUACAACGUCAUACUCGUGUUGGAAUAAAAUAAAAAAGAAAUGUAAUGUUCAUUUCAUUAGAGGAGGGGAAGGGAGCUUUCGAAAUCAUAGCCACGUAUCAGUUUUCGCUCUAACAUUUCUUUACGGAUCGGUUAUGUAAGUAGAUUUAUUUACGUUGAAUUUAGUGAAUUUAUUAAUUUUUUUUUUUUUUGUCUCUCAACGAAAUUGAUUCAGAAACAAAAAAUGAAUACAAUAUCUUUACCACGGAAUCAACCAUUUGUCGAUUUGAUAGUUUUUUUUUAUCCAACCCAAAUUACAUUUCAUUAUAAUAAAAACAAUAUUUUUUUAUUCAGAUUAAAAAUAUAAUCGAUCAAAUUUAAAAUUUAAAAUUUAUUUAAAUUUGAUCUAAUUUUAUUUUUUUAAUUUAAAUUUGAUUCAAGAUAAAAAUCAAAUUAUUUAAGUUCAUUAGAUUAAGUUCGAUUAAUGUAUAAAAAUAAAUUUAAUUUUUAUAUUUGAUAAAAAUUUAAUUAUUUGUGUUUGAACUUAAACUCGAAUUUAAAUUUAAAAUUUUUAUUAAUUAAAAUAUAUUAAAAUAUUAAAUUUUGAUGAACUAUUCGAAUCGAAUAUAAAAAUAUUUAAAUUCGACUUAAUUGACAAAUCGAUUCGAACUAAAUACAAUAAUAAUUAAAUAAAAUUUAAAUUUUAUUUAACUCGAAUCUAAAUAAUUUAUUAGUAUUAAUAUAUCGUUUAUACUUUUAUUUUAGACAUUGAAUGAUUCGAAGAAAGUGGCCGCUUUGUAAAUAAGAAAAAGUGACAAGGACAAAAGUAACAAUUCACAAAACCUUUGCAUCAGCUUUAAAGAUUAUCGGGGGACAGGGGGCAGUGGGCACAAAUCUAAAGCAGCGUGCAGUCGACCAUUUCAAACCUCGUAAAUAUUUCAGAAACUGAGAUUCAAAAUCCCCAUUUUUCUUCUUCCUAGAAACAAAGCCCAAUUUGAAAGAAAUGGAAUGCUAUGCAAGGUGGUUGAUACGCUGCUGUUAGUGGCGUUUGUGGUGAUGUUGUUAGCGGGGCCUUUAAUCGACGCGCAAUUGGUUUUGCCAGAGACCACCUUCCCGGACUUGCUCAUCCGUCUGAAGCAACGAUACGCCGAGGAAUACCAAGAUUAUUUGAUGGUGGAAAAGCCCCAUUUCUUUGUGGCCCUGGUCUGGCUGGAGCUGGUUUUCCAGUGGCCUCUCGUUUUACUUAACAUUUAUGGAAUUCUGGCAUCCAAGCCUUGGUUCAACACCACUUGCCUCAUCUAUGGUGCCUCUGUCAUUACCGCCAUGGUAAAUUUCAAAAUCAAAAUUUUAAUCUUUUUUGUCACUUAAAUAUUUUAUGCUUAAUUUGUUAAUUUUGUGCCAAAUUCAGACUGCUUUAUUGGGGGAGCUCGUGGAUCUGGGAAGGGGUCAGAUAAAUUGUUGAAGAUGUACUCCCCUUUCAUGGCGCUUGGUGUUUUGGCCUUUGCUGCGAGGGCUGGUUCCACAAUCUGGCGAGGCUCAAACCAUUGGCCAAGGACUGCACUAGCUAGGAAGAAGAAGGCUUGAGUGAGAUUAAUACAAAACCAUCUUCUGGAAUUUUUGUAAUCCUUGUCAUAUUUUUAAUGUUUUUGUUUGUUUAUUAUUUCCUGAUUAUGAGUUCUAAUGAUUAUUUCCUGAUUAGUGCAUUUAAUUUUAAGAACAAUCGUUAGAAGAAAUAGUACAUUCCAAAACAAUGGUCAAUAGCUCAAUGGUACAUGUAUUACAUAAGAAAAGGCAUUUCAUUCAUAAUUUUUUUACAAUAAUAUUAUAAUAAUUCAAUCAUAUUAAAGAACUAUAUAGGAGUUUAUCACUUAUAAAUAUGAGUUUUGAUAUAUUUUAUAUAAUUAUGAAUUAUAAUUGAUUAAUUUUAUUACGAUAAUUAAGAAUUGUGUGCAAAACUUACAACACUUUAACAAGUUAAGAAUAAAAGUUUAUUCGAGUUGAAUCCAAUUAAUACAGUAAAAAGUUUGAGUUCGAUUUUGAAAUAAAAAUUAAAUGAUUCGAGCUUGUUCGAUUAAAUUUGUUUAAUAAAAAUAAAUUUAAUUUUUAUAUUUAAUUUAAAGUUUGAUUUUGUGUUCGAAUUUGAAUUUGAGCUCGAAUUUGAACUCGAAUUGAUAUAUAUAUAUAUAUAUAUAUGGGUAAAAUAAUAAUUUUUCAAAUAAAAUGAUAAAUAUAUUUUAAAAAUUUAAGUUUGCGAACUACUUAAGUCGAACAUUAAAAUAUUCAAAUACGACUCAUUCAAUAAGUUGAGUUAUUCAAAUUUGAACUUCACUCAAUAAUAAAUAAAUUAAAUUUGAGUUUUGAUCGAAUUAAAUCUGAGUAAUUUAGGAGAGCAGUGUAUAGUUACAUACUUAGUUAAAGGGAUUAAUGAAUAGAGCAAAACAAAAGGAAAAACAUGAAAUUAAUGUUUAAGAUAGUUCUCUUUAUGGCAAUAGGGAAUUAUACAUCAAACAACAUAAAAUCAUGUUCCUUUUCUUAUAGUAGGCAUACAACAAAAAAAAACCCUAUGACAUCUUUGCAUUAUGUGUUGAGAACAUUAAUAUGCAUUUAUAUGAUCCCAACAUCAGAUCCACAGACCACACAUAUCAAGGAUGGGAUUAGGAAUCUUCUUUCAUACUAAAUAUUUUCAUGGUUCUUAUAAAUGUAUAUUUAAAGUAAAUUGCCUUGUUCGUCCAUUAUUUUUUGUACUAUUUUAUUUUUAUUUGUAAGUUAAAAAUUUGAUUUGUUUCAUUUACAAUCUUUUUAAUUUAUUUCAAAUUAUGUGUAUAUGUUCACCUAAGUGUCAUAUAGUCAAUUUUUACAGAUAUAAUAAUACUCGUAUUGCAUAUUUUAUUUAUACAUAUAUAUUUAAUAAUAUUAUUUUUUAUCUCAUUAAAUAGUUUCAAUAAAUUAAAUUUCCUUCUAAAAUAUAUUUUUACAAACAAAAUUAUUAUAAUUUUAAAUACUUCCAUUUCGAAUUUUUUUUAAAAUUUUAAAUUUCUCCAUAGAAAUGCAUUCAAAGGAAAGAAGGAAAAAAAAGAACUAAAAUCACAUUACUUGUACAAAACUCUAAAACCCUAAACAUAAAGCUAAAAACCAUUUUACAACAAAGCUUUCUAUAAAGUUCUUUGCAUUCACUUUGGUUUUUUUUUUUAAUAAUUUAUUGGGGAAGUCAAUUCCCGAACCUCUAACUCUUGAACGCUUGAUGAAUUUUUGCUUGGCCAGUUAAUUUUCUUGGUCCCCAAACAAAGGUCAACAUGUCAAGAGGAUUCAUGCAAGGUGCGCUCUUGACUUCACCCCAUCUUCUAUGGUUCCAGAAUUCAUCAUCACCAUUGUUCUUAAAUUUAAUUGCCUUCCCUUUUUUCCUCCUUCUGUUAGUCACUGCAUCAAACAAAAUAGGGGCAAUGUUAGAUGAUCAAUAUCUUGAAAUCUAUUUGAGAAAUAGAUAUAUGAAAUAAUCUCCAAUUCAUGGAAAAAAAUGCUUAGGAAUGGCUAAAAUGAUUCAAUGAAAAAGAAAGACGUGUUAACCUCGCACAAUACUGUUGUCUUUGAUUCAACGAUAAAUGCAUGUAUUUUCGUUCAGAUUCAAAUUUCUUUACUCCAAAUUAAGAAAAAAAAGGGGUUAAACUUCUUUUGAAGUGUCAAAAUCCGAAAUAAAAUAUGUUAUAUUUGACAGCUUAGAAAAUAGUGAUCAUAAAUCGUGUAUUUCAAAGAUGACUCAAACAAGAGGUUAUUAGCUGGACUCGAACUCAAAACCAUUCACCUCAAGGAGAACGAUCCUAUCAAUUGAGCCAACCUCUCGUUGGUGGGUGUAAAAACUUCAAAGUUUGUGUUAACAUACCUGACUAGCUACAUAAAGCUGUGGCAGUUCAUGCGUUUUCAAAUGAGAGAGAAGCCUUUAUCCUUUCAACGGUGCAUGUGAUCAAAUUGUUAACUGUUGCAACUGAUCCAAGAGAAAGUUUUGCGGUAGGAACAGAGUCAACCAAAAUCUGAAAUGCAACAGUUAGAAGAGAUCCACCAGACCCGUUAUCAGCAAAGCCUCCUACACUCGAUGUAGUUCCAUCGGGCAGAAUAGCAAAACCUGAGGGAAGAAGGGCCACAUAGUCCGGGUCACCUCCAAUUAGGACUACAUUCAUUGCAGCAAUAUCAACAGGAGCAUAGAUUACAAAAGAGCCGUCGGAUCAGUGCAACUCUCUUGUAAAAUUAGCAUGUUGCUUUGGCUUGAAUUUGUACUCUGUACAAAUUUAUUUCAUAAACACCCACAAUUUUUGAUAAAUCAACAAAAUCACGUUGGUUUGCGCUACUUACAUUUACUUGAAGUAGUGAAACACAAUUGCCUGUAUCCCGACCAUUAACAAUAUGUGCCAUUUCUUGGACAAACGCCACCAUUGAAAGAAUAUCCCACUGUAUUUAGGAAAGACCAAGUUGUAGGAUGAUUAUUUCAUUUGACAAUAUUAAACACUAAAGACAUCACAAAAGUCUAGAGGCUUUGAUCAAUUGAUAAGUUAAAUUUCAGCCAUCAUAAUACAGUUGUUUAAAAGCUUUGACAUUACCUCACUUCGAGAAGUUUCAUCUCGGAGGAAAUCGAAUACCUCUUUGGUGAAACAGGGAAGCCAAAAGGAAGUUGCAGCACUUAGCACAAUCCCAGGAGGCCUACCUGGAUCGUCUACGCUCUUUCUGGUCAUGACCCUUACAUCAUCAGCCCCAGUUCCGGAUAAUGUUGUCCAUGUGUGAGCUGUGGAGGCACCUACUCCAGCACAGAAACUUAUUACCAUUCGCUCAGCUAACUUCAGCAUACUCUUUUCCCAUCUUGAUUUGUUAUGACUGACCAAAUUUCAAAAUAUUUCAACAUCAGAAUUGGAGAAGAUUAACAACUGGAAUUUAAUAUUUGUAGUACUAUCAUUACCCCCAACAUCAACAGUGGGAAUGUUAGCAGCCAUGACACUUGCAAGCCUCUCACACUGUCGAUCUAAAGUAGCUAGCCAUCGUCUUGCUCCGAAAGCCUGGCCGGAACUUACCAGCUGCUUGUACAGACUGUGAACACCUCUAUCAUCCACUUCUACAUGCUCAACCCACGUAACCUAUGUUGCAUAAAGCCAUUAGUUGAGCUAGAACGAUAGGAUUGGAAAUGCCAUAUAGUAAAAAGCACAUAUUAUUACUAUGAUCAUUUGAAUAUAAUUGUUUUACCUUUGAGUACCCGUUUGGCAUUUCUUGAAUUAAACAUCCAGAUGGCCUUAUCCUGCAUCUCACUGUUGGAUUAGGGCGUAAAUUAUCCAAGGAAACAUCAACCACAGCCCAAGUUCCCUCUGCAUGCUGUUUGCAAUAUCUUACAUAAUAACUCUCACGAGUGGGAACAAGAGGUGAAGGAACUUGAAAUUCAGCUGUCAUCUGAGAAAUUAAAAUAAUACAGAAAAUGUCACAAAAAUAUUAAAUCUACCAACACAGAAUAAAGUAGGAAGAUAUAUUAAACAAUUUCUCAAAGGUAAUAUGGAAUUCCAUGUUACCACUUGAAGGGCUCCAUUAUAAUUCCCUGCUAUUCCAGUUGAUAGAACAUCCAAAGUCGAAGCUUUUGAAACUAUUCCCGAAAACAAACUUGACCAUUGGUGCUGAAUUUCAAAACAGAAACCCAAAAAUUAGCUCUUGCCUUGCUUGCUGACUUGUUCAAUUUUCAGGGUAUUGAUGAUGGAUAAUAUUAUAAAAGCUUACCACAUCCAUAAGAAUCUCGACAAGGUUAAUGUGGUUCAUGAUUACAACAGCAGUUUCUCUUGAAGCUUCGCUUUUGAAGCCCGCAGGUUUUGGCCCAAUACCUCUAGGAAAACGUUCUAAUGUACUCUUCCUCAUUAAGCAUCGAGGUUGUGGCAUCAAGUGUGGUCAUCCAUAAGGGUUCACCCAUCUGAGCCAUUCUAACUAGUUUCCUCCAUAGCUGCCACCGCAAGCUCAAUAAUGAUUGGCUUAUCAGUCUCAGUAGGUGUAUUGAUCGACCUAGGGAGUUCCCCAGCACCAUACAUCUCUCCAUUGCCAGGUUGUGCACCGAAAUCAAGUGGUCGAGGAGGCAUAGGAGAAGAAAGAAGAGGAUAGUUCACCACUGGCCUGCCAACAUACUUUGCAGCUAUUGCUGAUAUACGAUCAAUCUGCAUGGUGAUCAAAAACAAUAAUUACCAAUAAUAGAACCCUUUAAAAGUUAUUAGUUAGAAUUUUUAUAAAGGAAAAAAGAUUAUACUCUUAUCUACAUAAACCAAUAGCAAUUAAAGUUGGAAUAAUUAUUUGAUACCUCUUCUCUUAGUCGAGCAUUUUCAAGUCUGAGAUGGUGUUCAUCAAAGGACAAUUGUCCUAGAGCAGUAGGACCUCCACAAUUUGGGCAUGAAGCUGUGCUAAGAGCUUCCCUGUACUUCACAUUAUCAGCCCUUAGCUUUUCGUUCUCAGCUCGAAGCUCUGUGUUCUCGUGGCGCUCAUGCUGGUUCUAUGGAUGAAAAGCAUUGAAAUUUAAAUAGAAAUGAGCCAAGCUGCUAUCAUGGUCCAGUUCCAGUGAGCUCUUUCAGGUUCUUAGAUAUUGGUAAAUUCAACCAAAAGGCUUAAGUUAAGGGCAAAUGAAACGUUUGUUAUACCUUCAUUUGGGUGCGCUUGUUUUGGAACCAAAACUUCACUUGCAAUGGCUCUAACCCUAACUCACGCCCAAGUUCCUUCCUUUGCUUGUCAUCUGGGUGCGGACACUCCUUGAAGAAUCUAUCAACAAAGUACAAAUUUUUCAAAGAAAGAAGCUUUUCAGCUUAAACACAAUAAAAAAUGAAGUAUUACUGUGAAGCUUUUCAGCUUAAAGACAAUAAAAAAUGAAGUAUUAUUGUUGAAUAGAUGUGUUUUGAUUAAUAGUUUUUUAUCUUACGCCUCCAUUUCUUGGAUCUGAUGCUGGGUAUGGCGAUGGUAACGCUUCUUUUUGGGACGAGGAUCUUGAUCAUCCCCAGAGGCACCUUCAUGAUUCUCGCUACCAGAUUUGGUUGUACUGUCGAAUUCCUCAUCUCUCAUUCGAGCAAUUUCACUUUCAGAUGUGUUUUGGGUCAUCUCAAGCGGGGGGAGUUGACCUUCCAUCAUAUUGUUAGGCUGGAACAUUGUCUGCAGAUCUUCAAGAUUCCGAAGCUCAUGAUUUUUCAAUCUAACAAUCAGAAUGGAAAAUUUUCCCACUCAAAAACAAACUCAUCUCCCGAAUAUGGAAAAAAACACAAAGAAAAUCUUAUCUGAUCAACUUUAAAAAAAUGGUAGGCAAAAACCAAAGGGGAAACAAAAAAAACAUUUGAAAUUUGAGUGUACGGGUAUUUUAUAAAUAGUAGACUAGAUUUAUAUGUGAGAAAAGCAAGUUAUGCCAGUAAUUUGACUUCAUAGGAGUGUUUUUUUUUUUUUUCUCUUUUUCUCUUUUUCUCUGUUCAGUGCUAAAGGCUUUACGCGUUUCUCACAUACCGAGAAGGAUUCUGCUCGGAAGAGCCAAAAAAGUCCACACAAAGACCAAAAUCACUCCAAAAAACACAUUUUUUUGGGUUCCAAAGCAGUGGAAAAGGAGAGAAGAAAGAUCUUUUGUUUAGUUUGGAGUGUAAAAUGGUAAUAUGGGAAAAGACCCAUUAAUCUAAUGGGGCCAAAGAAUGUUAAAAGGAGAGAUUAAUCACAAAAUGAAAACUGAAAUCAUCCCAAGAACCCUCAGAAAGCAUAGAUUUAAUACGGUAGAGAUUGGAUGCAAGAGAGAACUCGAGUUCUAACCUGACCAAGGGUAAGUCCUGAUGAGGAUGUUCGAAAACAAUAAACAUUAACCCCGUUUCCACUGAUCAUCGAAGGCAUAUUUCUUGAUUCCGGCUGGCAUAUUUCGGAAUCCCAAAAGCUCUAAGCAAUAUAAGUACUGUCCUUUGAUUUGAGUUGAGACCCCUUAGAGAUUGAUAUAUAUGUUCUCCUUUAGAUUUUCUAACAAUGAGAGACAAAGCUGACUCUGGUUUUCUUGGCAGCUGAAAGAUUCUUUCUCUGAUCGUUCUCUCCUUCGGUUAAUAUAUAGUAUAUUUAUCCUUGAAGAAUAUCUCUUCGGCUUUGCCUUGCCUGCAUCAUUUGAGAACACAAACGCAAGAUAAACGAGAUACUAAAAAAAAUAGAAGUUUGAGUUCAAAAGGUUGGGAAAAUAGAACGAUAUACCGUACCAAAACUUGGUUGCAUAGAUAUUUCUGACCUAACAAAGAAGAACCCUAGAAAAGCCCCUGGAAGAAGAGCGGUUUGGGAUCUGUUUAUGAUUAAAAAAAAAAAAACUCGUUGCCAGUAAACCACUAAAGGCUGCCGUGAAAGAGGUAAAGCAGGAGGUUUUGGUCUGAGCUUUAAUGGUAUAAGAAGUUGGGGUUGCGAUUGCAGAAAGAGAUGGGGUCAAGCAACAAAGUGACAGAUAUAAAGAAGAAGAAGAAAGAGAGAAAGGAAGGAGACGAGGGAACAGAUGAAGCAAUUUGUGGCAGCGAAGAGUUAUUGCAGAGCGUAUUGAAAGGGUGCAAUUGCAUUUAAUGGAGGGAAGCUGUAAAUGCUACCGAGAGAGAAAGAGAAUUUGGUGUUUAAAGUUAAUCUUCUUCCAUCUAAAGCUACAGGAAUUUUUUUGUAUGGUGCAAUGCAACGAAUGACGGCUACCAAACUUCAUAAAUUUUUUCACACUCCUUCUAAAUUCUAUUAUGAAGCAGCUUUAAUUUUAUGUUAUCAUUUUAUAUUGUGAAAAUGUCUUUCUUUCAUUAAAUCAAACAUAUUUUAUGAUUAAGGCUUUGGAUAAUUUCAAUAAUAAUAUUGAUUCUUCCAAUUCAUUUAUUAGGGUUGAAAAAAUCGUAAGAUUUACAUUAGUAUUAAAUGGAGUAUCUUAUAUAUAUAUAUAUAUAUAUAUCAAAUGAAUCAAAAUAAAUGCAAAUCUAUAUCUAUAUCUAUAUCAAUAUAUAUUAAAUAUUAUGCAUGAAAUUUUAUUAAUGUCUAAAAAAAAUCUAUAUCAAUCCCAUAAGGAAAAUGCUAAUUAAGAAAUAUCUCAUCAGCUGCAUCAGCAUCAAUGGAUGUUUAUUAUAUGCAGCAGAAUUUUUUUGAGAAAAUCACUUCUAUUUGUUUCCUUUUGACAAUGAUUUUAAAUAAAAAAUGCAAGUAAGAGAAGAAAGGGAUGGUGUUUAAAUGAAGUGAUAAGAAAAAAGAAAUUUAAGAUAAGAAAAUUAAUUAACUUAUUUCUAUCUGAAAUAAUGGUGUAUAAUAUUAAUAAAGUCCUACAUAAUAUAUAGGCAGCAUCUCAAAUGUGAUGAGGAAUAAUUAACAUGUUGGUUCCUUUAUUUAAUUUGUUCUUUUUUAAAUGCAAUUACUGAGGAUUAUAAUGGGACAAUCAUUUUAAAAUGUAAACCCCUCAUUAAAAGAUAAAUUAUGAGUAAGAUUUAAGAAAGUUUUUUGUUUUAUGAAUUAAAUGAACACUCAAAAACAUUAAAAAAAAAGUUGGAUCUCCAAUAUGUUGAUUGUGAUAUGAAUUUUGGUCUUUCAAAGACAUAAUAAUAUCACCAAUAAGCAAUAUUGUUGUAGUCAACUCUGAAAAUUUUGAAUUCAAACUUUAAUUAUAUCUUAAAAGAUAAAAAAUUAAUAAUAAGAUAAUAUUAAUGUCAUCAAUUAAAUGCAACUAGAAGAAAAUAUGUCAAAUAUAGAGAAGGAAACAAAAAUGAAGGAUAAAGAUAUAUCAUUGGAUCUAAAUUAUAUGUAUAACAUUUACAAGUAAUCAUUUUAAUUUAAAAGUAAAAAAAUAUAUAACACUCAUAAGUAAAUUUCCCUUCUCUGUAUAUAUAAUACAGGCCGACAUAUCUCAUAAAUCGUGUUUUUGAAAAAUUUUCGAUUUGAUAAAUACAUCAUAUAAGAUUUUAAUUUGUUUGAUUUGUCGAAAAUAAUUAAGUUUUACGUAAAAACUUCUAACAUGAAUAAUCAACAAACUUUUAUUUAGACAAUUAGGUUUUCCAAAACAAGAAUUGGGUUUAGAGAUAAAUCAAAAGUAUGGCAAAUAUGAUGAAAAUAAUUGGAUGAGAAGAGAUGGCAAGAGCAAAAAAAGGAAGGAAUAAGGUUAGGUAGGUGGGUCAUAUGCUACAUAAAAACUUUCCAUUUACUAAAAAUUCUUGUUGAUGAUUUAUGAUGAGAAUUUUGGUAAACACACAAAAGAAAUCCUUAGAAAAUAUAUGAUUUGAAGGAAGUUAGGGUUUUGUAUGGAAAUGUAGUUACUUGAGAGCUAGGGUUUUUAGUUGGUACCACAAAUUUGGUAUAAUCUUUAAGCUUUGUAGGUGGGCCUUUGCAAAUUUCAUCUUUACAUUAAAUGCCUCUGAGCCACACUGCCUUUGCAUGGCAAAAGGUCAUUUACUGCAUUCAUGACUUCCUUGCACACCUCCCUUAUUUUUCACACCUACUACUACUAUUUUUCUCAUUUAUAGUACUAUUUUUUGUCAAAAUUUCAAUUUUAUAAAUUAAAUAAUUUAGUUGGAAAUUUUUAAAAUGAUUAAUACUCUUUAAAUUUAAUGUUAACCUAUUCUUUUUGAAUUAUCUUGAAAUUAUGUUCACCUUUUUUUUUAUCACUAACUUUUAUUUUUACAUGUUAUAUUAACACCUCCCUUAUUUUUCACACCUACUACUACUAUUUUUUUCAUUUAUAGUAGUAUUUUUUAAUCAAAUUUUCAAUUUUAUAAAUUAAAUAAUUUAGUUGGAAAAUUUUAGAUGAUUAAUAUUCUUUAAGUUUAAUGUUAACCUAUUAUUUUUUAAUUAUCUUGAAAUUAUGUUCACCUUUUUUUAUCACUAACUUUUAUUUUUACAUGUUUUAUUUAUUUUUAAUGUUAAAACAAUAGUUUUUUUAAUUCGGGCUUAGUUCAAUUAAUUUAUUUAAUUAUAUUUAAAAUGAUAUAUUUAAUAAAUUUAAAAUUCAAAUUUUAGUAUUCAUGAUCUAACACCUUUAAAUAAAUAGUAAACCCAUGUAUUUUUAUUUAAAAAGCUGAGUUAAUGUUUGAAUCUCUUUUUUCAAAUAAAAAUUAAAAAAAAAAUCAUAGGGUAAUUAAAACCGAAAAGUUGAUAAUAAAUCUAUCCAAGACCAACCCACCCGCUUAAAUUCAAAGGUCCGAGAAUUUUGACAAAAAUAAAAUAAUCAUAUUAAACUAGUUUGAACCAAAAAAAAAAAAUCUAUUUAAGAAACGGUUCAAGCCUUAAUUCCAAUAUUCAAAGCUUGAGUCCGAUGAGAAUUAUAUAAAAUAUAUAUUAUUUUUUAUUUUAUACAUUAUAUAAUUAUACGUAAUAUUGUAACAUAAACACUGAAAAGAAUAUUAAGUCAUUCAUAUUUUAAAAUUUAAUAAAAAAAUAAACUAUUAAAGAUUAAAUAAAAUAAAAUAUUUUUAUUUAAAAAUAAAGUUAUUUGAGAAUACUUAGACGAUAUUAUUUACUAAAAUUAUUGGACUUAAACAAAAUUUGAAUUCUAAAUCUGUUUGAAUUUUAAAAAAUAUUUAAAAUAUUAAUACCAUAUUUAAAAUCGAGACUCACUUCAUGAUAUCAUUUAAAAAAGGGUAAAAUUAUCAUUUAUUAUUUGUUGAUUCUGCAUAUAACAAUGUCUGUAAAGUGUGAAGAGCUUAUGGGAAAAUAAUAAUAAUAAUAGUAAGUAUAAAUAAACAAGUAGGGUCAGUGCGAGCAGCUGGUGUCGGGGCAGCAUCGAUCAUGGGCUCAAACCGUUUGUCAUGUCCAUGACCAUGAUCGGGACUGAACGGCAAUGCCUAGUUGGCUCUCGCGACGCCCAAGUCCUGAUUGAGUGUUUGACCAUAAAACAAAAUUGCUUAACUAUAACUUGAAAAGCAGACGAGAUGUUGAGGGUUGAGGACAAUAUAUUAUAUCUGAAAAUUUUAAAUAUAUUACGAUAUGAAUAUAAUAUAAAUAAUAUAAUAUAAUAUAAUAUAUAAUUUUUAUUAAAAAUAUAAUAUAAAUAUAUAAAUUUUAAUAUUUUAUACAAUAUAAAUAUAUUAAUCGCUGAGUCAACAAAAUAUGAAACGUCGGUCAAAAGACCGUGUUAAGAUGGUCUUUGGUUCCAAAUCAAAAGCAGUUCACCGGCGCGAUUGUACUCUUUAUCAUAAUAAUUCAAUUAGCCGCUAAAAUGUUUGGCCAAAAAAAAUUAGCCGCUAAAAUAAUUAAAUAGUUAAACUUUUUUUUAGAAAAAAUCAAAAUUUAAUAAUAAAAAUUUUAUAAUUUAAAAACAUGAAAACAAUUAUAAAUUUUAAAUACGAUAAAUAUAUCUUUUAAAAAUAGUUGUAUAAAAUAAUUAAAUUAAAUUUUGAUUUCAAUCAAAUUUUAUUUUAUUUUUGGUUUGUUGAUUAUUGUGUUUUAGGUAAUGAAUAGACUUAUUCAAAGUUGAGUUAUCUACUUAAACUCGAAAAUUCAUCUAAAUUUUAAGAGAAUUUGAAUAAAUAAUUAAAAUUCAUUAAAUGAGUUUAAGUAUGAUUUUUAGAUUUAUUUAAAUUUUGAGUUGACUUUAAGAUAAAAUAAUUAAAAUAUAAGCUUGAUCUUGUUCGAAUAAGAUAUAAAUAUUAUAAUUAUAUAAGUAUAUAUAUGUAAAUUUUUAUUUUUCUAUUUAUCUUUUAAAAGGAUUUUUUAAUUUUUUAUUAUAUAAAUUAAAUUUAAUAAGUAAAUUGAUAUUUAUUUUUUUAAUAUGAACUAAGUUUGAAAAAAUUUUAAUGCUCGAAAUAUUAAAUCAAAUUGAAUUUAAAUAAAUAUAUAAAUUAUUAAUAUCAAACAUGAAUUUAAUUUGAACCCGACAUGACUCAUAAAUACUUUGUUACUAACGAAGCAAGUCUUAUAAAAUAAUAACUACACCUUAUCUAGCUCCAUUAAAACUUGAAAAGUCUCAUGAAUAAAUCUUUUCGUUUUCUUAAAAAAUUUUCUCAAAAUAGGUAAUUAUGCACCGUUUUUUAUAUUUUAAAAAAUAAAAAUACAAACUCCAAACAUAUAAUGAUUGGAAAUUUCGAAUAGUUAAAAAAAAUAAGAUACAUAGAAAUUAAUAAAUUGUCAGGUGAAUAUUGAAUUCAUAGCACUAAGAAUUGAAGAGACUUCUUUAAAUGCAUUUUCAUAGAUGGGUGUCUUUGGUGGAUGAUUUAAUUACAAAAUUUAUACUUUGGUUCCUUUCAAUUUCAUUGAUGGGAGGCAGACAAGAGUAUUUUUAUGCUCAUCAGAUAAUACUUUGAGCUUUUAAUGAAGAAAAUGAUUCUUCCAUUUUUCUCUCACAUUAAAUGUUUUAAGUUUACUAAAACGACUUUGGCAAUUUAAAAAUAUAUAUAUAUAUAUAUUUUAGGAUUUUUCUUUUUUGAAAAAUAAAAUUGAGUAAGUAUAUCCAUAAAAGAUACAAGUAUAAAUGAAUUAGCUGGUCCAAAGUUUAUUGAGAUUUGGGCUUUUUGAAGUUGAAUUAAAGCCCAACUCCUCAGCCCAACCAGUUAAAAUUUAGUUCAUCAAACAUUCCAUUGUCCUUUUCCUAGAUAUACGCAUGCCCAAUAUCCUUUGUAUUAGUUGCGAUGUCAUUAAAGUUCGAGAUUAUAUAUAUAAUAUUUUUUUAAUUAAAUAAAUAAUAGAGUACAAAAAAUUUAAGGAUAGAUUAAAAUUUUAUAUAUAUAUAUAUAUAUAUAUAUAUAUAUAUAUAUAUAUAUAUAUACACACACACGCAUCAUUUAGGUGUCCAAUUCAUAUGUGAUUGUUCAAGUGACAUAGCCAAAUUUGUAAGUACAUGCACAUAUAUAUUUUUUUUAGAGGAAGGUAUAACCUGUUAUAAAAGGAAAAGGGAAAAAGAUCUUGGCUCUACGAAAAUUUUGUUACAACUUCUCAUUCUUUUAAAUGAUAAAGUUUAAUGAAUUUCUUGCGACAUCACAGACAAUGAGCUAUUUACAUUAUCAUAAUCUGAAACAUUUUAUCGGAUCAUUUAAUUGAUAAAAACAACGAACGAUGUAUAUAAAAAGCAAAUACAUAAUUAAUGAGAGUUGAUAACUCGCACUUAUUAAGAAUUUUUCAUUGAAGAUUAAUAAUUACAAUGAUCUAUCUUAUUAUUAGGAUCUCUAUGUCCUUAUAAAAUAUUUUUAACUACUCCUUUUUAAUUUAAUUAAUUAAUUAAUUUAAGUAAACUUAAUAUUCAUGGAAACGUCAAAGGAUACUCCAUAUUUUUAAUUUCAAUGACUUGAAAAAUUGAUUUAUUAAAAUUACCUUUAAGGUAAAUGCCAAAAAAAAUGAGAAAUUUAUGCAAUAUGUAUGGUUUACUUUCUUUUUUUUUGUAAUUUUUAAUUUAUUAAUAUUAUAAUAUAUAGUAAAAUUAAAAUACAUUGCUAUUAUAAUGUAUGAGAGUUGAUGGUAUCCAUGAUUUAUUUACAUUUAUCUUAGACGAAAAACUUUGCAUGGUCCCACAAAAAAAGUUGGAAAAGUUGGCUGCAGCAAGCGGUGUGAAAAAAUAUAAAAACAUAAAAAAUUGAUUUGACAUUUUAGUGUUUAAUUUGAUUUAGAUUAAUUUUUUUAUUUGAUUAGAAUUAAGUUUGAAUAUUAAAUAUAUAAAUUAAAUUUAAAUUAAAUUUUAAAUUAAAAAAUAAAAUUAAAUCGAAUCAAAUUAUAUAUUUUUAUUUAUUUUUAUAUAUUUUUUAAAUUUUUAUAAAAUAAAAUAAUUAUUUUAUACCUAAAUCAUUUUGAAUAUAUUUAAAGUUAUAUUAAAAAAUAUAUAAAAAUUAAAAAAUUUAAAUUUAAAUUUUGAUGAACAAAUCAAUAAAAUUUAAUUUAAAUUGAAUCAAAUAAUAUAAAAUUUUCAUUUAAAUCUAAAUCAAAAUUUAAAAUUUUAUAAUUUUAUAUAUGAAUCAAAUCAAAAUCAAACUCAAAUCAUUAUUAUCUUUUUAACUGCAGGGACAUUCAGAACUGACGGAAUAGCAGGGGGGAUUAUGCAGCUUAUAACUAUGGGUGGAGAGAGCUAAUAAUCUAAUGAAAUUAAGGGCAGAUAAAAUUAAGUAAAGGAUACCCACUAAACCCAAGGUGGGGUUGGCUUCAAUUUUUUUUUUUAAUUUGUUCAUGUUUUGAGUAGUCUUCUUAUUCUUUUUGGAUUUCAAUUGACUCAUGCAUGAAUUGUUUUUGGUUGAAAGUAAUCACGUCCAAACAAACAAAAUGGCUGCCAUUAUUGCACCACAAAGGUCAACCCCCUUGCAUGUCUUCUCUUUCUCUUUCUCAGCCUUGUUUCCUGUAGCGGCUGCUAGCUGCCUUCAACUUCCCUGGCCCACCUUGGCCACACCAAGAUUCUACAUCAUGGGUUUCCUUUUCUGUAUUAUUUUGUAAUAAUAUUUUGUUUUUUUGGGUAUAAAUCCGCCAUUAUCAACAGCUUCUCGAUUUUCUUUUCUGCCCAAAGAAAUUUAGUCUCUCUUCUUCUCUCUGGUUGACACACACAUAUAUAUAUAUAUAUAUUUUUUUUUUUCUUCUCUUUAGAUUGAUGGAGGAUUACUCUAUUAAUUCAUCUAUACACAAAUUAUCUGUUGCUUCCAAAGGAACAACAACAACAACAAUCAAGACCAAGGAUUUACCCGAAGAGAGUGGCUGGACUGCUUACUUUGAAGAUUUAUCAAACAAUGAUCAUCAGCAAAAUAUUAACUCUUCUAGUUUUAGUUGUAGCUCUUCCUUGAUCUCAGAUGCUGCAACAACUGGUGCUGCAUGGCAAAUAUCCCACAAUAACCAUCAUGUUUUUGGCUGCUCUUCAACCUGUGCCCCCUCCUCAAAAAUUCCCAAGAAAUUGAAGUUCAAGAAAACAAGAACCAAAGAAACUUGUGAGGAUGAUUCUCUGGAGGAUACUGCUAGUUCUCAUAUUAAUAAUCCCAAGGUAAAAAUAUUGAAGAACACCCCAUAUUUCUGUAUUUCUUUGUCUUAAUUUUGAUCUUUCUUUUGCAUCUUCUUCUUUGAUACUUACUGGUUUAAUAAUUCUUUUUGUUUUCAUAUUUGAAUAGGUUAGUGACUUGAAAUCAAAUGAUAGGAAUAUUCCCAGAAAGACAAAAGAUCAGGUCCAUAUAUAGUUCUCUGGUAAUUAAAGUCAAUUAUUCUGAGAUCAUGAUGAUAAUAUAUGUUAGAAGGUUGACCUAAUUAUUAAAGAGUUAAAUUAAUAUGGCUUCUUGGUGAUUAUGUAGGGGAAGGAAACUGCUUCAGAGAAUUAUUCAGAGAUACAGAUUGAAGAAGAAAUUAAAGAAAAUGAAUUUUGACCAUGGGAUCAAGCGUAAUUAAUUGUACAGAGUUAAAGAAAAGAGGGCUUGUUUAGUUCCUUCGUCUAUGUUACUUUACUAUCUUGGUCAAUACUCAACAUUUUAUCAUUAAUCUCUGUCUCUCUUCCCCUCUCUCUCCUCUCAUGUCUUCCUUGUAGCUGGCAUGCUUAUAUCAUUGUAUAAAGAGAAUUACUUUGAGCCCGAAAUUAACUCGAUUCAUACCUUAAUUAUAAGUGACAUUCGAUAAAUUUAAAAUUUUAUUCCAACUCCUUCUAUUGCUGACCUCUUUUAUAAAAUAUAAAAAGAAUUUUGGUUGAUAUAUGUUGAUUAUAGUGUGAGCAUACAUUAUUAAGUCCUUGAUCUAUAAUAUUACAUGAGAAAGUAAGAAAAUUAAAUUACUUGGUGAAGAAUGUGAACCUCAUUUCAUUAUCAGGUAUUCCCGUUUUAUGAAUUAUGGUAGAUAAUUCUAACAAAUAAAUAUUCAGGUAUAUUAUUCUUGGUGAGAAUGAGAAUGAGAAUCACAAUCACAAUCACAAUCACAAUCAAAACCCAGCUAAAGGAUGGGAGUUCCUUGCACCCUCAAAGCAGAAAAAAAAAAAAAAAACAAAGACAAAGGUUUAAAUAUUAUUUAAUAUCCAACCUCUUGCAGGCCAUUCAUUUAAAUUAUUCAGAAAGGGCUGCAAUGGAAGACCCCUCCAUGUGCACAAGCAUUAUAUCAAGGCAGGUGAAGCACAGAACAGAACCCAGAGUUGUUAAGGGCGUUCAGCUAAACACCCACCAUUUAUUCUUCUGGUUGACUACCUAAUCUAUCACACUCUUCUAUAUGGAUGUUAUCUUAAGUCUCCUUUUCUCAUUAUCCUUUUAGGAAGAAGAUCGUAGUUUCGGGAUCCAAAAAAGAGUUGCAAGCAUUAUAAUUUUAAUUUCAAAUUUAUUAAAUAUUAAUUUUUAUGAUCGGUUUUAUGAAUUAAAUGAGUUAAAUUAUAUAAUUCAUCGAUAAUUAAGAUGUUUUCAUUAUAUAUGCUUUUAAUAAAUGUAAUUCCUUUGGAUUUAUGUUGCUGCAUUUAAUCAGUUUUUGAACUAAUUUUUUUUCCUGUUUAUUUCAAAAAGUUUUGUUUGUUGAUUUAUAGAAACAUUGGAAAAUUUCCAAAAGCUACCUUCCAACAUAAAGAGAGACCUAUAUAUUCUACUUUUAAAGCUUUAUUUGUCAGUAUAUUGCAAGGCAUAAUUAAAGAAUAUGACAACUUGGAUUACUUGGUUUGAUUAAAAAUUUGAAGAAAGUGACCAAAAUGGUUCAGUUUGAUGCAUAAUUAUCUGAUCAAAGUGCAAGAUUCGAAUUUCUGGUUUCUUCGGUUUGAAAUUUUGACCAUUUAAAUGGUCGAAACUUGAAAGCAGUGGAGCGGUCCAAUAUUUGGCAUCCAAUUCGGCUUUUGCAAUGAAAUCUUGGACCAUGAAAAGCCCAAAAUCCAUGUUUUGUGCAAUGGGAGAUGGGUUGAUUUUUAGUACAUAAAUUUAUCUUUGAUCCACUUUUAAACUAUUACUUUGUUUUAGAACAAUUCAUACAACAAUUUGAAAAGAAAAGACUUAAUUUUUUUUUACCAAUAAAAAAGACUGAAUUUAAAAGAGUGAGAUAUGGAUCCGCAGAUAAAGUUUGAUUUUUGUGUGUGAUGGAAUAUUUUAAACCACUAUACUAUUGGGCUUAUUAGAUCAUUCUGAAGCCUAACUAAUUUCCAAGCCCCUAACUAAUUAAGAGACCUUUUACGAACAAGCAGGCCAUUUUUUUUUUUUUAGCGAUAAAGGAUUUUUUUUUAUUAUUUUCAUUUGAUAUAUAUAUAUUUAUUUAAAUAAUUUAAAUAAAUUUAUUUACGUUAAAUUUAAUAAAUUUAUAAAAAAUUAUUUUUUUAGAUUUUUUUAACGGAUUCAAACUAAGACAAUAAAAAAAUAUUUUUAUCAUAUAAAUCAGCUUGUGUUGAUCAAAUAAGUUAUCGUAGAUUUUAAAUAUUAUCUUGUUAUUUAUUACAUAUAUUUAUAAAAAUUUAAUCUAAAUUUAAGCUCUUCUUAUAAUUUUUAUUUCUUUUUAUAAUAUUUCCACCAGCUUAUAUAAUAUAUAACAUUUCUUCAUUUGAGAAUGUAUUGGCCAUGCCUACCAAUAUAUAUAUUUUUUGGUCCUAGAUAUUUAUCAUGCAAUGGUAAUAUAAUCCUUGUAGACCAUAAGGGUGAUAGAUGGAAUUAUAAAGCUGAUUCAAAUGUUCAUAGUUUUGGAACUCCAUAGAAGUAAAACAAAGAUUUCUUUUUUUCUCGUAGAGAAAGUGGUUGCUUGUAGUAGGGAAAGAAAUCUCCCAAGUAAUGUGAGAAGCACGAAGGUCGUUUUGCUUUUUCCUCGAAUUGCUAUACACCUUAACCCCCCAUCACCCCAUCUCAAUCAGCAAGCAAUUUAGGACCACAGUCAAUAGCUAGGUCAGCUGGUUCAGUUCCACCUUCAACCAUAUACCAACCGGCAACCACCACCCCAUUCUCAACGUCACAGAUCCCAAGUAGAAGGAACUCUUUUACUCAACGUUAAGUAUUUGGUUCCAAUUUCCCCAUCACUUUUCCAGAAACUCAGCUGCAGUCCAAAGAACCCAUAUCUCAUCUUUAUUUCAUGCAGCAAAAAGGAAAAAAUAAUGGUGUGAUCAUGCAACACAUUCCUUACGUGAUUUUUUCUUCAUAUAAAUAGAUAUAGAAUUUAUGAUAGAAAAUGAUCCCAUGAUCCUGAACCGGUCUUACCCGGGAUCGCAAAGCCCAAGUUUGUCUAUGAAGAGCAAAUCUAAGUGUAUUAGUGUCUAGAAUUGAUUUCUUCUGUGUAAUACUAAUCGAUAGGGCCUCAUUGGUAAGUGCUACAAGAUCUCGUGCAUUGGAACCCACGUUUGUGGACCCGAAUCCAUUAGUAUGGAACAUUUUCUUUUCCAAGUGAAAUCCCUUAGUAUAUGAAAGAGUGAAAAAGUGCUUUCGUUGUGAUCAUACAAUACAUCUUUGCUUUCUCCAUGGCUACAUGCAUGCUCUUUGUCUGUAUUUUUUUGGGUUGGUUUUGCUUGAACUGCAGAGUUUUUCUUAUCUCUAAGGAAAAAAG